GUUCUUGGCAGUGGCCUACAACCACAUGGAAGCUGGCCAACCAGUUCUAACCAUGACCUGCUGACUGGCAGCUCAUCACCAUGUUCCAGAUUAGUUCAAUAACCACGCCAAGUAGCUCUAAGUUCCAGUCCUGCAACUCUCAGUCAGGCUCAAGAAAAGCUCCAAUGAGAUGGGACUUAAAAUAUGAUUAACACAUACGGGCCCAAGGAAACAGGGUGAAGAUGGUGCUGAGUAUUUGAAGGCCCAAGGUGGACCAGCUCCAUGAAGAUCGACAUGUGUAGGAGCCACCUUUUCACCUCACAUGAGGAAGAGACGUUCUAACCAUACAAGGUGUCCAAGGAACCCUUCUCUUUGGAAUCUGAUUGAAGCAAGAGCCCACAGGGAUUUAAUGAUCAUCUAUGCAAUGAUAUUCAUGGCAAGUCUCCAACCAAGUCCCCAAUUAAAAUCCAAACAAAAAGGGGAGGGGACACAACCAGGGACUGAGUUAAUAAAAGGAGUUAU
rnacentral:lncRNA from 1 species